GACAAACGCUGGCGGAAUGUAUUAGGCAUGCAAGUCGCACGAACCUUCGGGUUAGUGGCGGACGGGUGAGUAACACGUGGGUGAUCUGCCCUGCACUUCGGGAUAAGCUUGGGAAACUGGGUCUAAUACCGGAUAGGACCACGGUCUGCAUGGAUUGUGGUGGAAAGCUUUUGCGGUGUGGGAUGGGCCCGCGGCCUAUCAGCUUGUUGGUGGGGUGAUGGGCCUACCAAGGCGACGACGGGUAGCCGGCCUGAGAGGGUGUCCGGCCACACUGGGACUGAGACACGGCCCAGACUCCUACGGGAGGCAGCAGUGGGGAAUAUUGGACAAUGGGCGGCAAGCCUGAUCCAGCGAUGCCGCGUGUGUGAAGAAGGCCUGCGGGUUGUAAAGCACUUUUGGUGGAGACGAGGCUUAUUGGGGUAAAUAGCUUUGAUAGGUGACGGUAUCCACAGAAAAAGACACCGGCUAACUCUGUGCCAGCAGCCGCGGUAAUGUCGUC
rnacentral:rRNA from 1 species